GCAAAUGAUAUUGUUAGAUGGUGACGUUAGUCACAAUUGCUACCGAGAUAGUAGUAUCCAUGUGUUUCUUCUAUUAGUUUUUUAAAGAUUUCAUAUUAUGUUUCAUUACAAAACAUGACAUACUAUGUAAACACAAAGAAAUAAUGUGCAUAAACAUUAGACUAAAGGUCCACAUUUAUUGUACUUAUUUGUACAACUGCUGGAUACCACGCCUCGUGUUGUGUCCUUCUGUGAUGCACUAUAUGCGCUGUAAUUAUCCAUGCACAAUGUUUUGAAUGUCAU